rnacentral:rRNA from 1 species
AAAGGGUGCGUAGGCGGCCUGUUAAGUCAGGGGUGAAAGACGGUAGCUCAACUAUCGCAGUGCCCUUGAUACUGAUGGGCUUGAAUUGACUAGAGGUAGGCGGAAUGUGGCAAGUAGCGGUGAAAUGCAUAGAUAUGUCACAGAACACCGAUUGCGAAGGCAGCUUACUAUGGUCUUAUUGACGCUGAGGCACGAAAGCGUGGGGAUCAAACAGGAUUAGAUACCCUUGU